rnacentral:rRNA from 1 species
GAUGAACGCUAGCUACAGGCUUAACACAUGCAAGUCGAGGGGUAACAAGAGAAAAGCUUGCUUUUCUUGUUGACGACCGGCGCACGGGUGAGUAACGCGUAUCCAACCUGCCUAUAACUAGGGAAUAACCUUGCGAAAGUAAGACUAAUACCCUAUGAUUUCCUUUGAUGACAUCAGAUUAGGAAUAAAGAUUUAUCGGUCAUAGAUGGGGAUGCGUCUGAUUAGCUUGUUGGCGGGGUAACGGCCCACCAAGGCAACGAUCAGUAGGGGUUCUGAGAGGAAGGUCCCCCACAUUGGAACUGAGACACGGUCCAAACUCCUACGGGAGGCAGCAGUGAGGAAUAUUGGUCAAUGGGCGGAAGCCUGAACCAGCCAAGUAGCGUGCAGGAUGACGGCCCUAUGGGUUGUAAACUGCUUUUAUACAGGAAUAAAGUUAGCCACGUGUGGUUAUUUGUAGGUACUGUAUGAAUAAGGACCGGCUAAUUCCGUGCCAGCAGCCGCCGUAA